rnacentral:rRNA from 1 species
GACGAACGCUGGCGGCGUGCCUAAUACAUGCAAGUCGAGCGGACGAAUCGAAAGCUUGCUUUUGAUUCGUUAGCGGCGGACGGGUGAGUAACACGUGGGCAACCUGCCCUGUAGACGGGGAUAACACCGAGAAAUCGGUGCUAAUACCGGAUAACACGAAAUGUCGCAUGACGUUUCGUUGAAAGACGGCGCAAGCUGCCGCUACAGGAUGGGCCCGCGGCGCAUUAGCUAGUUGGUGAGGUAACGGCUCACCAAGGCGACGAUACGUAGCCGACCUGAGAGGGUGAUCGGCAACACUGGGACUGAGACACGGCCCAGACUCCUACGGGAGGCAGCAGUAGGGAAUCUUCCGCAAUGGACGAAAGUCUGACGGAGCAACGCCGCGUGAGCGAAGAAGGCCUUCGGGUCGUAAAGCUCUGUUGUUAGGGAAGAACAAGUAACGCAGUAACUGGCGUUACCGUGACGGUACCUAACGAGAAAGCCACGGCUAACUACGUG